rnacentral:rRNA from 1 species
AAGCUCGUAGUUGAAUUUCGGGAUCGAUGGGUCGGUCAUGCCCUCGGUAUGUACUGAUCCCAUUGGUUCUCACCUUCUAAGGAACCAUGAUGUCAUUCGGUUGAUGUUGUGGGGAAUUAGGACUGUUACCUUGAAAAAAUUAGAGUGUUUAAAGCAGGCCAACGCUUGAAUACAUUAGCAUGGAAUAAUGAAAUAGGACAUCCGAUUCUAUUUUGUUGGUUUCUAGGAUCGAUGUAAUGAUUAAUAGGGAUAGUUGGGGGCAUUAGUAUUCAAUUGUCAGAGGUGAAAUUCUUGGAUUUAUUGAAGACUAACUACUGCGAAAGCAUUUGCCAAGGAUGUUUCCAUUAAUCAAGAACGAAAGUUAGGGGAUCGAAGACGAUCAGAUACCGUCGUAGUCUUAACCAUAAACUAUGCCGACUAGGGAUCGGAUGAUGUUGAUUUUUUAAUGACUCAUUCGGCACCUUACGGGAAACCAAAGUGUUUGGGUUCCGGGGGGAGUAUGGUCGCAAGGCUGAAACCUAAAGGAAUUGACGGAAGGGCACCACCAGGGGGUGAGCCUGCGGCUUAAUUUGACUCCACACGGGGAAA